UCGAGAAUCUUCCCCAAUGGCCGAAAGGCUGAGGGAGCGACGCCGCGUGCAGGAAGAAGCCCUUCGGGGUGUAAACUGCUUUUCUUCAAGAACAACUCUGAGUGUACUGAAGGAAUAAGGGGCUGCUAACUUCGUGCCAGCAGCAGCGGUAAUACGAAGGCCCCGAGCGUUAUCCGGAUUUAUUGGGCGUAAAGCGUUAAUAGGCGGUUCUGUAAGUAUUUGGUUAAAUCUCAUGGCUCAACCAUGAGGCUGCCGGAUAAACUGCAGGACUUGAGGUCGGAAGAGGCAAGCGGAACUACCGGUGUAGUGGUAAAAUGCGUUAAUAUCGGUAGGAACACCAAAGGCGAAGGCAGCUUGCUGGUACGAACCUGACGCUAAAUAACGAAAGCGUGGGGAGCGAAUGGGAUUAGAUACCCGGGUAGUCC
rnacentral:rRNA from 1 species